CUCGCUUCUUGGCCUUUUGGUUAAGAUCAAGUGUAGUAUCUGUUCUUGCCAGUUUAAAGCAAUGCAUAUCCUGUUCAUACUGCUUUGAAGUUUGUUCUUUUGUUCACUUAAAGGGGAAAUUUUCCCAAGUCAAAAAACUUACAACGUAUUUUAACUCCU
ensembl:snRNA U2 U2 spliceosomal RNA